UCCGUCCUCCAUCGCCGCUCUUGCUGUCCGCCGCCACUAAAGACGCUCGAGAGGGGUCAGGAAGUACCUCAAUAUGAAGUCUUCAAGAUUACUCACACGAGAAAGGCGAAGAACGCCGAUGGUACGGACCAAUGGAUUGAGCCAAGGGCUCAGCAAACCUAUAUCGAGUUUCAACAACACAAGUUGGAAUACUAUGCCAAUCAGCCAGUCAGGACGUCGAUGACCAAUGAGAUAAUUGGAUUCGAGCGGACGGAGAAGGUAGCUCCCCC